UUGGCAGGUGGUCAGGACAGGUACAGCACAGGCAGCCACAGUGUGAGCUUUCCCCCACCACCCCGUCCAUGUGCCUCAACCCUAACCUGGAGGGACCACCUCUAGAGGCCUAUACCAUUCAAGGAGAGUAU
rnacentral:sRNA from 1 species